rnacentral:rRNA from 1 species
AUCCACGGCCAUUAGGACUA